rnacentral:tRNA from 1 species
GCUUUGGUGGUUCAGUGGUAGCGAUCUCUAUUGCCACGCGGGAGACCCGGGUUCGAUUCCCGGCCAAUGCA